rnacentral:siRNA from 1 species
CGUCUGCCUGGGUGUCACAAA